AACAUCGCUCUUUGAAAAAAUAAUUAUAAAGAGUACUGCCUGCCCAGUGAUAAAAUUUAAACGGCCGCGGUAUUUUGACCGUGCAAAGGUAGCAUAAUCAUUUGUUCUUUAAUUGAGGACUAGUAUGAAAGGCAAAACGAAAGCUUAACUGUCUCCUUUUUAAAAAAUGAAAUUAGUAUUUUUGUGAAGAAACAAAAAUAAUAAAGUAAGACGAGAAGACCCUGUCGAGCUUAAGAAAAUUUUUAUAAUAAUAUUUUAACAAGAUAAACAAAACUUUACUAUAAAAAUAAAAUAAAAAUAUCUUUGGUUGGGGCAACCACGAAGAAAAAAAAACCUUCGUUUUUAAAGAAAAAUUUACAAAUUUAAAAAUUAUUAAAAAUUUAAAAGAUCCAGAAAAUUCUGAUCAAAGGAAAAAGUUACCGCAGGGAUAACAGCGUUAUUCUCUUUAAGAGCUCUUAUUGACAAGAGAGUUUGCGACCUCGAUGUUGGACCGGGGCACCCAAGAGGUGUAGCAGCCUCUAAAGGUAGGUCUGUUCGACCUUUAAAGCCCUACGUGAU
rnacentral:rRNA from 1 species